UCUCUCGUAGGUUAAGGAUAUGAAACUGUUAGCUUGUGGUGUUAAAGAUUAUAAGUGUACGAGAGAA
rnacentral:tRNA from 1 species